CUCCAGAGGCGUGCGACCUCUAACAUAUAUAGCAACUACUAUCACGCUACUUACCUGCAACUCACCCACUACCUUCCUGAGUUCCACCUGCAAACCUUCACACGGAAGUUUAGUCUCCAGUCUCCAAUCAUCAACCUGUUCCCAUUCGCCUCAGUGGAUUGGACUGACCCCUUGUCUGGCACAGUUGUGAAAGAUACCAACUGGAUGAAGAUUCCUGUCCAAUCAUCCUGUCCAAAGGGCUUUUCACACUUGAUGCAGUAUUAAAUGCAUCUAGGAUCCAAAAUUAACACUCCCAAGUGCCAAAUGUGAGCAAAAAUGGCUUUGGUAGGAACAGGUGAACGCCCUCUCUUUGAUUUUUCCUUGCCCUGUUGAACGGUUUCGUCCAGAGGGAGUGUGAUUCGCUCAGAGGGGCCAAUGGUCACUUGACACUGUUGUUUGUCAGGAAUCAUACAGUCCUAAAUGAUGUGGUUCUUUUGAAUGACAGCUAAUUUAUCAUUUAGCCAUCCUGGGCUAAUAAUGACUAAUGACGGAUGGGGCUGUUUGGGGAUCUGUGAGUAGAGCUAAUCAGUGUUUACUGUUUACUGUGGGUGUGUGUGUGUACGUGAGAGAGCCAAUGUGUAUCAAAUAUGAAGAAUUGGAUUUUGCUGCGUAUUUGUUUCCUGGCGGACAGUUUUAAAGAAAUAAGGGCCACUUUUCCCGGAAGCAAGCAUACCGUCAGUGAUAAAACACAAACGCGGGGAACUGAAGAAAAAAAGCCAUCUCCCUUUGAAUGAGCCCUUCGAUGAAAAUGUGUAAUAUAAAUAAAGCCACAGCCUUUGAAAAGAAAACCCUUCCUUCCUGGAGCUGUCAUCCAAAGGGAAAAAGCGCACUCCAAGCUACUCUUAAAUUCCCAAAGACCGUUCUGUCAUCAGACUCCCAACUGCUCCCUCCAAACACGCGAUGCCCCAACAGGCCUUUCAUCUGCAGACCAGGGUCCCCAACUCCCCCCUCCAAAACACUGCAGAUCAUCUGCUGGAAUAGGCAUAACACACUAAUAAGAGCGGAAAGAAAUGAAUGAAUGAGGAUUUAAUAUGUUGAUUGAUGCCAGGUGAUUGGAUUAAGAGGGCUGGAUCUAAAGAAUGAAUGUUUUUUUUUCAUUAA